AUGUGUUCUAAAGCUUUCAGUGUCAGAACACGUGAUGGCAGAGACCCCAGAAGCUUUGGCAUCUCUUCAGAUCUCCAGUGGCAUCUACUAUGCGCUGCAAUUAUCCAGCUUCACCUGAGGAAGAAUAGAAUUUCCAUGAACAAAUUCGAGCUUUCACAAGGCCUCAUCGUGAUGGGAGAAGUUGCCUGGCUAGAAGUUCAUCUGAAUGGGCUCAUUCUUAGUGGUCUCCAUGUUGAUCUAUGAGAGUCUCCUGAUUUGGAUGGAAUUCAUCUCUUCAGGUUUCAAGGGUGCCUCUAGACCCAGUUUAGGGGCCAAUGUGCCCUUUUGAGGCAACAGAGAGUGCCACAUGCCCUUUCAAAGCAUUGUACUCAUCGUUCUGCAAUAUGCUGAUCUCCUCCGGCUAUGAGAGAUCAAAUUUGACUGGCCAGUCACCUAAUUUCCUCAAAUACAGUGCUGUAUUUUAAUGGCAAG
rnacentral:lncRNA from 1 species